rnacentral:rRNA from 1 species
UACGAAGGGGGGCUAGCGUUGCUCGGAAUCACUGGGCGUAAAGGGUGCGUAGGCGGGUCUUUUAAGUCAGGGGUGAAAUCCUGGAGCUCAACUCCAGAACUGCCUUUGAUACUGAGAUCUUGAGUUGGAGGAGGUGGUAGUGGUGAACUGCGAGUGUAGAGGUGAAAUUCGUAGAUAUUCGCAAGAACACCAGUGGCGAAGGCGGCUCACUGGCCCGAUCUACGCUGAGGCACGAAAGCGUGGGGAGCAAACAGG